rnacentral:lncRNA from 1 species
UUUAUUUGGAAAUAGGGGUUUUACAGGCAUAAUUAGUUAAGCUGAAGUCAUACUGCAUAGGGUGGGCCCUGGAUCCAAAGCCUGAUGUUCCUAGAAGAGGCUAGAACACAGAGGGGAGACGGCCAGGGGACAGUGGUGGCAGAGAUGGGGUGAUGUGUCUACGAGCUGAAGACAUCAAGGAGCGCUGGCGGCACCACCAGGAGCUGGAGGGGCAGGCAGGAGCCCCCAGAGCCUUCGGAGGGAGCUGGGCCAUGGUCUGGACUUCUUGCCACAGGUCCUGUGAGAGCAUAAAUCCUGGUUGUCUGAGUUGCCCACAAUGUCCCCAGGGCACUCGGACACCCACGAGUACGGAUCCGUGGGUGGUGGAGGACCUGAGGCACUUGCUGUGAACUCUGCCGCCCUGAAUCGUCUCCUUGGGCCACCACGGGGCUGGGUUAGGCUGGAGGCCACCGGCUUCUAAGUGUCUCCCUCUCUGCUGGGACCACAUGGCAACCACCAGGGCAGCUCUGCCAUUUGUUAACAGUGUCAUUUCUUUCAUAGAAAGGCACAAGAUGGGAGUCACGGAGAAUCCUGGAGGGGCAGCGCGUCCUCCUGCACCACAGCCCUGCCCGGCCCCCAGCGAGCCACACAGCCCAGCUGCAGAGCGGAGCCUCAAGCACAGCAGGGAAGCAGGUGCCCAGGGGUUGGCCGGUCAAGUUGGUGCCAGAGAGGAAGUGUGCUCUCCAGCGCCAGGGUUCCAGGGCCUGGCAGGUUCCCCUUGGCCCAGUCUGCUGGAGGCCUCAAUUCCUGCAUUUCUGCUGAGCGCCCCUUGCCACACAGCUGGUGGUGAGCUGGUUUCCCGGGCUGCACGUCCAUCGUAGCACCCUGCACCAGCCCCCACGCACCGUCUCAGUUCUGCAGGCAGAGGUGCAAAACCAAGGUGUUGCAGGGCCACACUCCCUCUGAGGCUCCACAGAAUCCUUCCUCACCUCCUCUGGCUUCAGGGGGGUGGUCAGUGGUCCUUGGGGUUCCUUGGCUUGUAGGUGCAUCACGCUGACAUCUUCCUCCAUCUUCCCGGGGCAUUCUCCCUGUGGCUCUGUCUUCAUGCAGCCCUCCCCUCUUCCAAGGACAUGAGCCGCAUUGCAUUAGGGCCCAUCCUGCUGAUCCCAUCUUUACCUCAUCGUAUCUGCAAAGACCCCAUCGCCAAGUAAGGUCACUCCCACAGGUCCUAGGGGUUAGGACUUCAACGUAUCCUUUCGGGGACACAGCUUGUCUAUAACAAGUACCAACUCUGAGCCUUUGCAGGUUACAAGUGCAAACCUCCAAACCCAGAUGCUGCAUGCCGUGGUUCCAGGGGGAGUCUGGUGCCUCUCAGCAACAGCACCUUUGCGGGGCUCUCCCGAGGACGUCAGAGGGGGGCUCGCUCCCCAUCACAGCAGAAGCUCCCUGUGUUCAGACUGCUCCUUCGGCAGAAACCUCUUCACUCCCUCAAACCCAGCAUCUUUGCCACGUCUGCCCUGUCUUUUCUUCCCCAGAAUCCAGGCUGUG